GAUGAACGCUGGCGGCGUGCCUAAUACAUGCAAGUCGAGCGAACGGACGAGAAGCUUGCUUCUCUGAUGUUAGCGGCGGACGGGUGUGUAACACGUGGAUAACCUACCUAUAAGACUGGGAUAACUUCGGGAAACCGUAGCUAAUACCGGAUAAUAUUUUGAACCGCAUGGUUCAAAAGUGAAAGACGGUCUUGCUGUCACUUAUAGAUGGAUCCGCGCUGCAUUAGCUAGUUGGUAAGGUAACGGCUUACCAAGGCAACGAUGCAUAGCCGACCUGAGAGGGUGAUCGGCCACACUGGAACUGAGACACGGUCCAGACUCCUACGGGAGGCAGCAGUAGGGAAUCUUCCGCAAUGGGCGAAAGCCUGACGGAGCAACGCCGCGUGAGUGAUGAAGGUCUUCGGAUCGUAAAACUCUGUUAUUAGGGAAGAACAUAUGUGUAAGUAACUGUGCACAUCUUGACGGUACCUAAUCAGAAAGCCACGGCUAACUACGUG
rnacentral:rRNA from 1 species